rnacentral:rRNA from 1 species
GUCCACGCCGUAAACGAUGUCAACUAGCCGUUGGAAUCCUUGAGAUUUUAGUGGCGCAGCUAACGCAUUAAGUUGACCGCCUGGGGAGUACGGCCGCAAGGUUAAAACUCAAAUGAAUUGACGGGGCCCGCACAAGCGGUGGAGCAUGUGGUUUAAUUCGAAGCAACGCGAAGAACCUUACCAGGCCUUGACAUCCAAUGAACUUUCCAGAGAUGGAUUGGUGCCUUCGGGAACAUUGAGACAGGUGCUGCAUGGCUGUCGU